CAGGGCAGGGCGCGGCAGUGUGUGUGUGUGUGCCCGUGUGUUACCGUGCGUGUCCCACUGCUGAGCCCCAACGAACCUUCCCAAACUCUCCGACGAAUUCGAUAUUUUCCGAACUUUUAUUUACGAACUUUUGUUACGACGUGUUGGUGGUGCGCCCGACCCAGGGAGGCAGGACUCCGUGAGAGCCCCUGGGCGGGGGCGUGGCCCCUCGCUGCCCCAGCCAGGUGAUGCUCUCGCUCUGCAUGUGUCUACAAGCGUUAGUGAGUUGGACAGCCCGCAAGUACACUCAGCCGCUGAACCAUGUCCCCCCGGAGUGCCGAGUCAGCUCAGAUACUUCAAUAACAGGUGAGU